GACGGAGGAUGCAAGUGUUAUCCGGAAUGAUUGGGCGUAAAGCGUCUGUAGGUGGCUUUUAAGUCCGCCGUCAAAUCCCAGGGCUCAACCCUGGACAGGCGGUGGAAACUACCAAGCUGGAGUACGGUAGGGGCAGAGGGAAUUCCGGUGGAGCGGUGAAAUGCGCAGAUAUCGGGAAGAACACCCGUGGCGAAGGCGGCUCUCUGGGACGGUACUGGACGCUGAGACGCGAAAGCGUGGGGAGCGAACAGG
rnacentral:rRNA from 1 species